rnacentral:misc_RNA from 1 species
GAUGAAGAACGCAGCGAACUGCGAUAAGUAAUGUGAAUUGCAGAAUUCAGUGAAUCAUCGAGUCUUUGAACGCACAUUGCGCCCCCUGGCAUUCCGGGGGGCAUGCCUGUCCGAGCGUCAUUGCUGCCCUUCAAGCCCGGCUUGUGUGUUGGGUCGUCGUCCCCCCCGGGGGACGGGCCCGAAAGGCAGCGGCGGCACCGCGUCCGGUCCUCGAGCGUAUGGGGCUUCGUCACCCGCUCCGUAGGCCCGGCCGGCGCCCGCCGGCGACCCCCCUCAAUCUUUCCAGGUUGACCUCGGAUCAGGUAGGGAUACCCGCUGAACUUAAGCAUAUCAAUAAGCGGAGGA